CAGGCAGGAGGUGAAAAGUUGAAGUGCUGUCCAGUUGCACCUUCAUGAAAGUAGUCAGAACAUACCUCAAGAGUGGGACAUCACAGUGGUGGCUUUGAAGGAAACAGGUGGAACAAAGAACAGAAAGUAUCACAUAAAAAGCACCAAACACAGUUGUGCCCCUUGUACUGUCCAGGUCCUCUUUGCCCCACUGUUAUAUCCAGCUCUCCAGGAGGACUGGAAAGCAUUAGUCCAAUCUGGCAUGAGGUCCCCUUCAAGGUUAAGGUCAGUCAGUCUGGUUGAAGAUAAGUAAAGCAAACUUCAGUCUAUACAAUUGUAGCUGGAUUUGCAGUCAUCAUUAAGAUUUAUCUCCAAUCUCUUCCAAUAGCCUCUCCGUCCCUGACCAUCAUCCAGCACGUUAGCUGUAUGGGUUAAUGUCCUGGUAGGGCUGUAUAGACCUUCAGUUUUAGGGGCUGGUGCCCUUAUUUUCUUUGUUUUUAGUGGGCAUCGUUGCAGCACAACUAUAUGUCAACUUGACAAUAUGCAACCAUUGUCUCACUGGACAUUGAAUCACCAAGAUGCACACAUAUUAUGAAACCCUUGGGUUCCACACCUGCUUCUCCCCAUCUCCAUAAGGCACAGCAGACCUAGUUCUUCAGGGUAAUCAGGGGCUAUUACUUUCAUAAGCAGAAUAUUUUUUUCUUAGCUGUUGCCUACAGGCAUGCUGAAUCCAACUGGCAUCUCAGCUUCAAGUUCAGUAGAUUUAUACCUUUCUCCUGGUAGAAUUGUUCUCUUCCCCAUCCACCACUAUCAAGACUUCUUAUCCAAUAGAGGCUAAGGUUGCAGGAUAAGAAACACAAAACCUCUAACCAUUCAAUUCUUGGUCCUGUGAAACUGUGCUACUGAGGACUUGGAGCUUAAUAUUUAUCUCCAUAUAUGUCCAUAGCACAUCCUGGAAAUCUGCAUUCCAUCCCUCCUAGGUGUUGUCCUCAAGCUGGCUUCUUAAGUGAGCUUUUAACAGGAUUUCUACCACUCUAUUAAAAUGUCCACUUCUGAAUGACAGGGUACAAGGAAUAAUUAGUGGAUCCUGUGUGCAAAUACCCACAG
rnacentral:lncRNA from 1 species